rnacentral:rRNA from 1 species
GACGAACGCUGGCGGCGUGCUUAACACAUGCAAGUCGAGCGGUAAGGCCCUUUUGGGGGUACACGAGCGGCGAACGGGUGAGUAACACGUGGGUGACCUGCCCUCAGCUCUGGGAUAAGCCUGGGAAACUGGGUCUAAUACUGGAUAUGACCUUUCCUCGCAUGGGGUUGGGUGGAAAGUUUUUCGGCUGGGGAUGGGCCCGCGGCCUAUCAGCUUGUUGGUGGGGUGAUGGCCUACCAAGGCGACGACGGGUAGCCGGCCUGAGAGGGCGACCGGCCACACUGGGACUGAGACACGGCCCAGACUCCUACGGGAGGCAGCAGUGGGGAAUAUUGCGCAAUGGGCGAAGCCUGACGCAGCGACGCCGCGUGGGGAUGAC